GACGAACGCUGGCGGCGUGCUUAACACAUGCAAGUCGAACGAAGAGCGAUGAAGCUUGCUUCUAUCAAUCUUAGUGGCGAACGGGUGAGUAACGCGUAAUCAACCUGCCCUUCAGAGGGGGACAACAGUUGGAAACGACUGCUAAUACCGCAUACGAUCUAAUCUCGGCAUCGAGGAUGGAUGAAAGGUGGCCUCUAUUUAUAAGCUAUCACUGAAGGAGGGGAUUGCGUCUGAUUAGCUAGUUGGAGGGGUAACGGCCCACCAAGGCGAUGAUCAGUAGCCGGUCUGAGAGGAUGAACGGCCACUUGGGACUGAGACACGGCCCAGACUCCUACGGGAGGCAGCAGUGGGGAAUCUUCCGCAAUGGACGAAAGUCUGACGGAGCAACGCCGCGUGAGUGAUGACGGCCUUCGGGUUGUAAAGCUCUGUUAAUCGGGACGAAAGGCCUUC
rnacentral:rRNA from 1 species